AUGUCUGAAUUGAGUUAUAAUAUGAUAGAGGAGGGACUCAGUGUUCAUAUUGUGUCUGACAGAGACUGUGGUUGAAUCGAUUCAGUCUGACUCUUUUCAGAAUGAACAUUUGUGUAAUGGAUCUUCUUCCAGUUAUUCUGCUCGGUGUCUCAGCUGCUGCUGUCUUUGGAAAUGUCAUCAAACCAGACCAACCAGAUGUUUUUGCUGAGGAGGCCUCAGAUAUUACAUUAUCCUGUAGUUUUUCUGGAGCUGGAGCUUCAGAUAAUCUCUACUGGUACCGUCAGUAUGGAAGAUCAAAACCUGAAUUUCUUGUACUCACCUACAGCAGUGCAAAAGAAGCUCAGCCGUCUGAUGUAGAUCUAAGAUUCACUGUUAAAGUUGAAAAAAAGGAACAUGUGUAUCUGGAGAUCUCCUCUGCUGCUGUAUCAGACUCUGCUCUGUACUACUGUGCUCUGGAGCCCACAGUGACAGGAAACACAUCAACUCUCUACAAAAACCUGCUACAAUGAGAGAUGAGAGACAAACACAGAGAUAUAGAUGAAGACAAAGACAAAAAAGCUGUGACUGGCAAUUAUGAACCAAUAGUAGAAAAAAAAUCACAGGUAGUACCAAAAUCAAAAGGUA